rnacentral:rRNA from 1 species
CCAAUAGCGUAUAUUAAAGUUGUUGCAGUUAAAAAGCUCGUAGUUGAAUUUCGGGGUUAGUAGAUUGGUCAUGCCUUUGGUAUGUACUGGUCUUACUGAUUCCUCCUUCCUGAUGAACCGUAAUGCCAUUAAUUUGGUGUUGCGGGGAGACUGGACUGUUACUUUGAAAAAAUUAGAGUGUUUAAAGCAAGCUAACGCUUGAAUACAUUAGCAUGGAAUAAUGAAAUAGGACGUUCGAUCUUAUUUUGUUGGUUUCUAGGAUUGACGUAAUGAUUAAUAGGGAUAGUUGGGGGCAUUAGUAUUCAAUUGUCAGAGGUGAAAUUCUUGGAUUUAUUGAAGACUAACUACUGCGAAAGCAUUUGCCAAGGAUGUUUUCAUUAAUCAAGAACGAAAGUUAGGGGAUCGAAGACGAUCAGAUACCGUCGUAGUCUUAACCAUAAACUAUGCCGACUAGGGAUCGGAUGAUGUUAAUUUUUUAAUGACUCAUUCGGCGCCUUACG